rnacentral:rRNA from 1 species
AGAGUUUGAUCCUGGCUCAGAUUGAACGCUGGCGGCAGGCCUUACACAUGCAAGUCGAACGGCAGCACGGGGGCAACCCUGGUGGCGAGUGGCAAACGGGUGAGUAACACAUCGGAACGUACCCUAUCGUGGGGGAUAACCAGUCGAAAGAUUGGCUAAUACCGCAUGACCUGGAGACAGUAAAGCGGGGGACCGGCAACGGCCUCGCGCGAUUGGAGCGGCCGAUGUCCGAUUAGCUAGUUGGUGGGGUAAAGGCUCACCAAGGCGACGAUCGGUAGCUGGUCUGAGAGGAUGAUCAGCCACACUGGGACUGAGACACGGCCCAGACUCCUACGGGAGGCAGCAGUGGGGAAUUUUGGACAAUGGGGGCAACCCUGAUCCAGCCAUGCCGCGUGAGUGAAGAAGGCCUUCGGGUUGUAAAGCUCUUUCGGUAGGAACGAAACGGUUACGGUCAAUACCCGUGACUACUGACGGUACUUACAGAAGAAGCACCGGCUAACUACGUGCCAGCAGCCGCGGUAAUACGUAGGGUGCGAGCGUUAAUCGGAAUUACUGGGCGUAAAGCGUGCGCAGGCGGUCUCGUAAGCUGGGUGUGAAAGCCCCGGGCUUAACCUGGGAAUGGCAUUCAGGACUGCGAGGCUCGAGUGUGGCAGAGGGAGGUGGAAUUCCACGUGUAGCAGUGAAAUGCGUAGAGAUGUGGAGGAACACCGAUGGCGAAGGCAGCCUCCUGGGCCAGCACUGACGCUCAAGCACGAAAGCGUGGGGAGCAAACAGGAUUAGAUACCCCAGUAGUCC